CCGUCUCUCCUCGCCUAUGGAAAGUCACCCCUCCACCGUGAUGCUCGCCCAUGCUGUCGAUGGAAGGCGCGUCCAUGUUCCUCGCCCCCGCAAUCGACGCGAUGCUCGCCCCUAGCCAGCCUUGCCCCACCAUCAGUGACCCCGCCCCGGCUCCAUGGAAGGUGCAGCAAGGCCACCGCGAUGGGAUCUGGGAGCUCCGUGCGCCCCCGCCGUGCUGCAUGCCUCCACCGUGCCAGUCGUGCCACCGCUAGAACCACGCAUGAGGAUCUCCCUGCUCGCCAGCGGAUCUCCGCCACGCACGUCGUGAUCUCUGUCGCGGCCUCGCCUCCUACUCAAUCCCACUGCGCGCCACCGCGAUGGGAUCUGGGAGCAGCAAGGCCACUGUGAUGGGAUCUGGGAGGAGGCAAGCGGUCCUCCUCCAUCUUCGGCGACGAGCUCGUACGUUCCCCUUCAUCCCCUCCGUACCCUUCCCACCACCAUCACCCGACCAAGCGGGCCUGCUGCUUCCCAUCACGGGAGGUUCUGCUCCGCCACCUCCUCCCCAUCUUCCCGGACAUCUAGAAGCUGAAGAGUGAGGAGGCCCUGCUCGUCGCCGCUAGCACCGAGCUCUUCCUAGGCAGCCUCACGGCAGGGGGCCACACAACGACGGCGCGGCAAUUCCGGCAAGCGGUCCAUGCCGUGCAUGUCUGGACCGCAGCCUGCGGGCACUGUCCCAUGACAGACUUCCUCCUUGACUGCCUCGCUGCGAAGAGAAGUCUCCCCGCAUCCGGUGCUUGGUAUAGGUCAGUUUUACUUGAUAUUCUGUUUCUGUUCCUUGUUUGUUUGAACUGAGGUUGAUUUAGGUUGUGAACUUGUGAUGACAAAAAUAGCAUCUUGUUGAAACUAUGCAUGUAUAUACAGAAAUGAUUUGGACAGCGAGAUAUCCUGAUACAUCAAGCUUUUAAUGCAAUCAUAGAUUUUGACGUUGAUAGUUUUUGCCAAAAAGAGUCAUAGAUUUUUAUUUACUAUUUUAAUUGCCUUUUUUACUUACCCAGUCUAAUACCAUCUACAAGGUACUUAAUUGGGUGGAGUUUUGGUUGUGAGUCUGUCAAAUUAGUAUAUCUAUAUAUAUCGAAGAAUUUGUCAUCUUUGUCAUUUGCUCAGGGAAGACUAGCAAAUGUUGGUGAUUUAGCAGUCAAAAGAGUAAACCCAGAAGCGGGGAUCGUGGAGCUAACAAAUCAUGUGAACUACUAUGUGCAAUCACACAUACAGGGCAACCACCUCAAUGAUUCGUUGGUGUUUUCCCCUCUCUGCUUGUUCUUAGCACUGCAAUUGAUAUCUCUAGGAAACUAUGGCAUUUUUCCUUUGUGGGAUUAACCAAGUUCUGCUAGAACAGUAUGAAGUAAACCAUGCUAAGACAUCGAUUUGGACAAUAUUGACGACAUUGACAUCGAGAGCAGAGGUGACUUCAUUUGCAUAAUGUGAUGCUCACGCCUGGUUUAGGUAGUAGAGUAGUAGCAAUGAGCUUCCUUUGAUUGUCGCUCACGAGAGAGUAGAAGAGUAGCAGUACGACAGGUUCAGGUAGCAGAAUAGCAGUAGCAUUGCCAUAGAUCAUGCACUUAUAUGCUGAGAUCUGCACAAAAAUUCUAUGACCAGUUGAAUCAGCACAUCCAUUCCCCUACGAUUUCUGUUAUCGAUCAGAAAUGGUAUAGCUUGUAUCACUUCAACAAUCUGUAGUUCGUUUUUAUAGAAUCAUUUCAUGGAUCUCAAUAUUAGCGGCCAUAGUUUUUAGCUGCAUAUAAAUGUCAUUUGUUUGUAACCCAAUAAAGUAUUUUAGGCAAAUUUUGACUGAUUUAAAUGUUCAGCCUGGACAGUGACUUCAGACAGUAUAGAUGGUACCAGUGUCAGUCCAUUACAAGGUUUUGCAUUAUACUGCAUUUUCUGCAAAAGUAGCAGUUACCAAGUGCCAUGUGCCCUCGUUCUGCAUCAUCACUUUGCUCGUUCAGAAGUACUGAAGUAGUAAUUAACACCCCUUUCUAUAAUGAUUAGAUGCACCAAACUAUAAAACACAUGACACCAGUUUGUAAAAAUACCUGCAUCCUAAGGUUAUUCUGCUCUACUCUGCUGCUAAAUUCAACAUCCAGAUUACUUGGUAGAGGUAGCAAGGCCUUGAUCCUAGCACGAAAUGAGAAAAAAGGUAUGGUUUAAUGUUGGACAACUCAUCAGGGAAGUUCAGACAUUAGAAUCAUAAUUUUUAUGGUUCAGGUCAAUUUUUAUGGUCCAAGAUCAUUUAUUUUGGACUAGGAUAAUCUUUAUUUAUUUUGGACUUGCAGUUGACGUCACCUUCUUGUAUGAACUAUACACUUUAGGAUCCCUUCUUCCUAAACGCUCACAUGCACGUCGGUGCCAAUUAUUAUUACACGAGUCAACCAUUUUCCUAUGGACAAAAGAGAGCCAGCACACCAAUAUUCAAAGAUGACUGUCGGCACAAGAUAGCUUUGACUCGCCUGCCAUCUCAUUCCUGUUGUAAAAGGAUAGUCGUAGAAUCCACCAGAUUGCAUUAACUUUCUUGUGUAAUCCUAUCUCAGGGUAUGUUGCGGCUUAUGGCAAUUCUGAGCCAACAUAUACUACAUUGUAUGGAAACCCUGAUGCAACAUAUACUACACAAGCCUAUCCAGAUGUUUAAAGCACUAAUCAGGCUACAAAGAAGUUGUUUACAAGUGGGCCUGGGAUUGAAUAGAUCGCUGACAAGUCUAGUUCAAGAAGCACUUGAUGUCAGUGAGGUAGCCAGAGAAGUAAGGCGAUAGAAAGUCAUUGGAAACAUAGUGUUAAUAUGCGUUGGAGCCAUCAUCUUGAUUUCUGCGGUUUCUGUCUCCUUUUUGCCAUUUUAUGUGCAAAGGAUUGCAUGCACUGUAGGCGGGCUGGCAGUGUUGGGUUCUUCUAUUGUGCUUUUGUGCAUUGGACAAGACAAGAAGUUCUUGGGACAAACUGGAGGUUUCAUGUGCCCAUUGGCGCGGGAGUCCGGGGAAGAGAGCGUCGGCUCCUUUAGGAUCGGGUCGUCGAUGCUGCUGGGCCACGGGGUGACGAUCCGUGUGCUCCUCUUCAGCUCGAUGUGGCACCUGCGGGGGCGCGCGUACGCCGCCAUCUCGCGCGUGCGCAGCGCGACGUUGCCGGUGGCGGCGUCCUGGCUGCGCUUCAAGAACACCCACGUCCUCCUCAUGGUCGUCCUCUUCGCCCUCUUCUUACGGAAGCUCUCUGGCGCUGAUCUUCCGAGAUGUUUGCAAUGUUGUCUUUGCGAUGCAUUGCCAGACGCCACCUCUUGCUCACAGGGACCUAAAGGUAGAAAAUGUUCUUGCUGCUGAUGGGGCAUGGAAACUAUGUGAUUUUGGUAGUGUAUCGACAAAUCAUAAGUGCUUUGAUAAACCUGAGGAGAUGGGCAUUGAAGAAGAUAACAUCAGGAAGCACACUACUCCUUCAUAUAAGUUACCAGUGAGAAAGUAGAUAUCUGGACUCUUGGGUGUCUCUUGUAUAGAAUCUGCUACUUCAAAUCAGCAUUCGAUGGAGAAUCAAAGCUCCAAAUACUUAACGGGAACUAUCGCAUCCUAGAAUUGCCGAAGUACAGUUCUUCUAAUUCAACACUUACCAAAGACAUGCUUAAUUCUUCUACAGAUGCCAGACAGGACAUCACACAGGCAAGUGCUUUGCUUGAUUGGCCAUUCACAGUGAACAGGCAGGACAAGAUUGCGAGUUCAAAAUAAUGUCAACCUGGCAGUCUAUUAUAUCAUAUAUUGUGGCACCACAUCUCAGAUAAAAAGGUGAGUCCAGGAAUGAGGAUUCACGAACACUGCAAUUCAAUUAUGGUUCAUUCAAACAUAAGGCAUUGGAUAAAUCCUUAACUAAAAAGGUUCCUAAAAAUCGUUUGAAUUCAAAUACUAAACUAACACAAUGUUGCUCUAUUGUAGGGAUUUUUGAAGCACUAAUUGCAGUGUAUCAACUCCGCUCUCAAAUAUAAGUGAAAAAAGAACCUAUGUCAGUCCUUUGUAUCCUGGAUUUCUAUGAAAUUUUAGUUGUUUGCCUCUUCAAUUUUGUGCUUGGCAUUGUUGGUUUUAUACUCUGAUCACUGCAUUGACACUGUGUUUUGGUUUGGUGUUUUCAGUCUGCAUGCUUGAUAGAAAUGCUUCUAUUAGCACGCAUUUUGCAUUUAAGAUAUGGUCACUUUUAUGUUCUUUUUUAUUGCAAGUCGCAAUCACAUAUGACCCAAGCAACAUGUAUCUGCUCUCAAAACUGAGAUAUGGACAUGUGGUAUGUAUAUAUUGCUGAUGCAUAUUUCAAAAUUUGGAGCUGAUACAUGUUGCUCUUUAAUCUAUUCAUUGUGGUUGAAAAAUAUAUCUGACAACCAGCCAUCUGUUUAGUUUAUAGUUUUAGUCCUUAAGCUUCAGAGAAAAUAUCUUCUCAGGGAUGGUUUCAGCUUGAAGGUUCGAGCUUUGCAUAUUGCCAAAGAAGCUUUAGAUAUGGUACUUGCAGAUGAUAACUUCAGUACUAUAGUUGCAGCAGUUGGUGAAGGGAGGUCUAUUUACAACAACAUGAAGGCUUUUAUUAGGUCCAUUUUUUAGAUAAUCUAUGGCCAAACAUUUUUUGAAUCCUAGGCCUGUUGCAGCGGUGAGAGUUGUCUAGAAAGGCUUGUCUCAGUUAAUCCCUUACUCCAACCCUACUGAUGGGGAGCCUUUGGUGCCGUAUGUGCACUAAGGGACUUCAUUCUAUCUGAUUAUGCAAAGAAAAACAAUGUCAAUACUUCUGCACUAACACAAUCUGAAAUGCGAGAUAUCAUCCUUGGUGCUGAAUUGCUCCACCAUCACAGCAACAGUCGAGAGACUGCUCAGUUAGCUGCUGUAAUCACAAGGAUAGCGAAUGUGCACGGAGAUGAACUCAUUAUCACAACCACAAGUCCAUAUGAGCAACAAGCAUUCGCAUCGAAGACUGAUUGAUGUGUUAGAGCCAUCUCUGCCACAAAUUUUAUCUUCGUGUAAAUCACAUUUAUGUCAAUUCUGAUGAUAUUAAGGUUAGUAUAGUGAUAGCCUCUCUCUAACUCACACAACAAAAGAAAUGUUGAAUGGUUACCAACUGGCAUUCGUUUUGAUUGCCAAAAACCGGUUACACUUACAUUAUGCCAAAGAACAUAUAGAAUAAAUUCAUACGCAUAGCAUAUCUGUGUACACAAAUCACUGGAUUCUUGUAUGGGCUGAGUCCACAGGACAAUCCUCAAGUCAAAAAGAUUAGGUGUAUAUCCAUCCCUCGACAACAUGGAACACACCAGAAG